CCUACGGGGGACAGCAGUGAGGAAUAUUGGUCAAUGGGCGCGAGCCUGAACCAGCCAAGUAGCGUGAAGGAUGAAUGCCCUACGGGUUGUAAACUUCUUUUAUAAAGGAAUAAAGUGAGGCACGUGUGCCUCUUUGUAUGUACUUUAUGAACUAGGAUCGGCUAACUCCGUGCCAGCAGCCGCGGUAAUACGGAGGAUGCGAGCGUUGUCCGGAUUUAUUGGGUUUAAAGGGAGCGUAGAUGGGUUGUUAAGUCAGGUGUGAAAGUUUGCGGCUCAACCGUAGAAUUGCAAUUGAUACUGGCAGACUUGAGUACAGAAGAGGUAAGCGGAAUUCGAGGUGUAGCGGUGAAAUGCUUAGAUAUCACGAAGAACACCGAUUGCGAAGGCAGCUUACUAGACUGCCACUGACGUUGAGGCUCGAAAGUGUGGGUAGCGAACAGGAUUAGAUACCCGGGUAGUC
rnacentral:rRNA from 1 species